AGAAAAAUUAUUUUUUAAGACAGUAUACACACUAAAAAAUAAUUUUGGGGGACAGGAGUUGAAGCAGAUACAGCUCUUCAUGGAAUUUUACAGUGAUCCACAUGGGAGAUGGUGGUGAGAGAACAGGCUGGCUGGAGACACAUUCAGAAGGAAGACCCACAGAGCAUUCUUACAGGACAGAAGAGAGUAAUCAGAAGAGGGUUUCCAGUAUUUGAGCACCUGGAUGCGGUUGCACCGAGCUGUGGUCACUCAUUUAUUUUUAUGCUGUCUCCCUAACCACUGGGGAAUUAGUGGUCAGUUGGAUUGGAAGAAGUUUACACUGGAGGUGGAAAGAUGAACUGAUAAGUAUUUACACAGUGCCUGCAAGAAAAAGAGAUGGCAGUGCAGAUGGAGAGGACAAAAGCGGC
rnacentral:lncRNA from 1 species